rnacentral:lncRNA from 1 species
UGUUAAAAUCAUAAAUUGUUUCCCUAAGGCAGUCUCAGAAAAUUAUAAUUACCAGGUCAAAAUGAGUAACUUCUUAAAGACAACAAGAGAUGCUUCAAGAAGACAAAAUAUUUUUACUUCUAUUUAAAGAUGAGUAAACUAAGGCUUGGAAGAGUAGAUAAUGCUGGAAAUUAAAACCUGUUAACUGUCAGAGGUAACAUUAAAGUAUAGUUCACUGCACCUUCUUGUAGAAUUUGGUACCUUCUUACUGAGGCACUUUUAUGCAAUUUUAUGUUAUAAGAAAACAAAAUUCAUCCAGUAGAAACAUUGUAUAGACCACAGUGAAAGUCAAAUCAGAAAGAAAAACAUUAGGCAUUGUGGUAUUAAAUUACUGAUGUCGAUUAUUUUUUUCCAGGACUACAGGGAGAAAAAAAUCUUACCACAAGAAUCGGCUGCUCUGCCUUCCAGUUCACUUUCAAACCCUUUCAAAUACAUCAAUAUCUUCCUGACCAUAUCAAUAUUAUUUUUAGAAGUUAGACAAUGAACUUGAAUUUUCUGCAGAUGGCAAGUCAUUUACUGAAAUGGAAAAAAAGUAUGAAUCCCAAGGGAUAUCAUGACCCAUUAACAGUGGGAUGUAGUCCUACAUUGAAUAAUAAUUUAGAGCUAUUACUAAGAUAAUUAGAGAGCCAGUUUGCUGCCAGAAGGGUUAGACCUUAGCUUCUCCUUUUAUUAAAAAGAAGAUCCUGAUCUGUAAAUGAAAAGAACCCAAAGUUCAUUAAUACCAUAACCCCAACAUCUGCCUGCCAUAAAAAGAUAAUGAUUUAGUAUAAAUUAAUUUCAACUCUUCAGGUGCUGCAGAUUUUAUCAGACAAUUACAUCACUGGCAUUCAUUCUCCAUUGUAUUACUUUCAACUUAAAGUUAAAUGUUCCCUAAUAUUUGUUCAACAAUGGAUACUAGCGAAAAGACAUUUUAGGAAAAUUAUUUUUCUCUAACUUCUAUUGAAAAAGAGUUUUUACACACACUGUUUCUUUCAGUUUUCACUGUGUUGCCUUUAAAAGAUCGGUGUGAACUUCCAGACAAAGCCAAUGUGUUGGAUAAAAACAAAAACGACACUGAGACCUUGUCAAAGAGAUUCAUAUGGUUCACUUCACCAAGACUUCCCCUUACUAUUUAAAGAUUAAUAAGGACAAAUUUUCCUUCAUAUUUCCAUCUAUGUUCUCCCCAAAACUGAUUUUUGCUUCCUCAAGCAAAGCUUCACUAAGAAGCAACUAACUGCAUGCCAUUACCUAGCACAAAGAAAGCAGAGAACUAAUGAUGUUAGCCAUGGCCUCUCUCCCCUCCCCGUUGUCCUAUGUCUCUUAUAUACACUUUAUUGUAGAUAGAGCAACCUGGAUACCUCAGUUCUCUUUCUAGGUAGGAGAAGAUGUUAAUAGCAAGAUGGAAUUGAAACCCUAUCUUGUUCUUUCUUUUUUUGAUUGAUAUUAUCAAAACUGAUAUUUGAAUAAACACUCAUAAUUUCCUUGAGAAUAUAGUGGUGAUAUUGAUGGUUUCUAACCAUAUAAUUCCCACUUCUAACAAAAUAAACUAUGAAGUUUGCUAGAAAAAUAUCCAAACCAGCAAUAAAAAAAAACUGUGGUGUUUUUUUGUUUUUUGUUUUUGUUUUUUUUUUUUUUGAGACCAAGUUUCUCUCUUGUUGCCCAGACUGGAGAUCAAUGGCGCCAUCUCGGCUCACUGCAACCUCUGCCUCCCAGGUUCAAGCAAUUCUCCUGCCUCAGCCUCCCAAGUAGCUAGACUACUGGCAUGCAACACCUCACCCAGCUCAUUUUGUAUUUUUAGUAGAGACGAGGUUUCUCCAUGUUGGUCAGGCUGGUCUGGAACUCCUGACCACAGGUGAUCUGCCCUCCUUGACCUCAAAAAAUGUAGUUUUAAUUCAAGCUCUUCAAUUGUGUUCCCUGACCUUCAGCAGGCAGUUACUGUCUCUGGAAAUUAUUUUCCCUUUCUGCAAAUAGAGCACUUGAAUUAGUAGACCUCUAAAUUUAUUUUCAGCUCUAUAAGUCUAAGAAUCAUUAUUAAAAGAUACCAAAUGUUUACUAGUUAUACAUAACUCUGUAUGAAUCUCUCUUCUGUAGUAAAUGUGGGCAUGAAUUUUGAUUGAAAUAGCAAUGCCCAGUGUGCUGAUGGUAUAAGCAAUUGUUAUUGAGAUAACAAAUUAAACAAAAUAUUUCAAAUGAAUAAAAUAUUUCAAAUGAAAGUAUUUGAAGAAUAUGCAAAAUAGAGUCAUUAUACUUUCAAAAUCUGACAAAUUCCUGGUUACUGAGUGAAGUUAACCAACCCAGGAAUCGCGUUUCAUAAAAUAAAGUUUUAAAUUAAGUUUCCCAAAGCAUUUAGUACAAGUAAAUUCAUGUAUUUGACAAAAAUAUUUUCCCCUUGCCAUUUAGAUAUGAUUAAGAAACUAUUCUGGACAGUUCUAAUUCAAGAUGACUUAGUGUUAUAAUUCAACUACCAGAUUGUGAAAAAUUAUUGUUUAUCUGCAUUUUGUACAAAUACAGUUUAUGAUUCAAUUAUAUUUCAUAAGCAAAAAUGCAUUGUAAAAUUUAUUCUUAAAAUUAAUAACAUUUAACACAGACUUUUGGAGCAAUUUCACGGUUUAGAAGGAGAGUAAGUCCAUAAUGACUUCAAGCUGAUAACUGAAACGCAAUUUCGGAAAGUAUUCACAGCAGAUAAGUGGUAUAUUUACACUGAAGAGCCCCAAAUUGGUAUGUUUUCCUUCCACAUUCCAUAACUCUUCCUAUCGCAUAUUAUAAUACUGGUCAUUCAUAUGUACUUUAUAAUAUUUAUUAAUUUAUUUGUACUGGAAGCAGGGAUAGCUCCUUGGUAGCUUACUCUUUAAUAAAACUUUCAUAUGAAAGGCAAAACGUGGUUAUUUGUAUUAUGUAUCUAGCCACUGAUUAGUUUCC